rnacentral:rRNA from 1 species
UCGAACGAAGCUUGACGGAUGAUUUCUUCGGAAUGAAACCAGAUAUGACUUAGUGGCGGACGGGUGAGUAACACGUGAGCAACCUGCCUUUCAGAGGGGGAUAACGGCUGGAAACGGUCGCUAAUACCGCAUGAUGUGUUCGGAUGGCAUCAUCUGAACAUCAAAGAUUUAUCGCUGAAAGAUGGGCUCGCGUCUGAUUAGAUAGUUGGUGGGGUAACGGCCUACCAAGUCUACGAUCAGUAGCCGGACUGAGAGGUUGAACGGCCACAUUGGGACUGAGAUACGGCCCAGACUCCUACGGGAGGCAGCAGUGGGGAAUAUUGCACAAUGGGGGAAACCCUGAUGCAGCAACGCCGCGUGAAGGAUGACGGUUUUCGGAUUGUAAACUUCUUUUCUUGGUGACGAAGACAGUGACG